rnacentral:tRNA from 1 species
GUAGCUCAGCUGGGAGAGCGCUUGACUGGCAGUCAAGAGGUCAGGGGUUCGAUUCCCCUCGUCUCC